GGUUCCGUGGCCUAAUGGCUAGGGCGCUAGAUUUCGGUGAUACCUACCCCAAGCUGGGUAGAUGAUAUCUGAUUCUCUAGAGAUUGUCGGUUCGAGUCCGGCCGGGAUCG